rnacentral:rRNA from 1 species
GUGUCAGCAGCCGCGGUAAUACGUAGGGAGCGAGCGUUGUCCGGAUUUACUGGGUGUAAAGGGUGCGUAGGCGGCUCUGCAAGUCAGGUGUGAAAACCAUCGGCUUAACUGAUGGACUGCAUUUGAAACUGUGGGGCUUGAGUGGAGUAGAGGCAGACGGAAUUCCCGGUGUAGCGGUGAAAUGCGUAGAGAUCGGGAAGAACACCAGUGGCGAAGGCGGUCUGCUGGGCUCUAACUGACGCUGAGGCACGAAAGCAUGGGUAGCAAACAGGAUUAGAUACCCUGGUAGUCCAUGCCGUAAACGAUGAUUACUAGGUGUGGGGAGUCUGACCCUCUCCGUGCCGGAGUUAACACAAUAAGUAAUCCACCUGGGAAGUACGACCGCAAGGUUGAAACUCAAAGAAAUUGACGG